rnacentral:pre_miRNA from 1 species
UAAAGUGAAAAAGGACAUUUUUUGUGGCCUGUGUAAAAAAGACAAUUUUCGACGCUUAAUUACAACUAUUCACGAGGCAUUUUUUUAUCUUUUUAUACAUGCCACAAACAAUGUCCCUUUUCACCGAA